ACUCCUACGGGAGGCAGCAGUAGGGAAUCUUCCACAAUGGGCGCAAGCCUGAUGGAGCAACACCGCGUGAGUGAAGAAGGGUUUCGGCUCGUAAAGCUCUGUUGUUAAAGAAGAACACGUAUGAGAGUAACUGUUCAUACGUUGACGGUAUUUAACCAGAAAGUCACGGCUAACUACGUGCCAGCAGCCGCGGUAAUACGUAGGUGGCAAGCGUUAUCCGGAUUUACUGGGCGUAAAGAGAGUGCAGGCGGUUUUCUAAGUCUGAUGUGAAAGCCUUCGGCUUAACCGGAGAAGUGCAUCGGAAACUGGAUAACUUGAGUGCAGAAGAGGGUAGUGGAACUCCAUGUGUAGCGGUGGAAUGCGUAGAUAUAUGGAAGAACACCAGUGGCGAAGGCGGCUACCUGGUCUGCAACUGACGCUGAGACUCGAAAGCAUGGGUAGUGAACAGGAUUAGAUACCCUGGUAGGAUAGCG
rnacentral:rRNA from 1 species